GAUGAACGCUGGCGGCGUGCCUAAUACAUGCAAGUCGAGCGAACAGAUGAGGAUCUUGCUCCUCGCACGUUAGCCGCGGGCGGGUGUGUCACACGUGUAUAACCUACCUAUAUGACUGAUAAAACUUCGGGAAACCGGAUCAAAUACCGGAUAAUCUAUUGAAGCAUAUGGUUCAAUAGAAAAAGACGGUGUUUCUGUCACUUAUAGAUGCAUCCGGGCCGCAUUAGGUGGUUGGUAAGGUAACGGCUUACGAAGGCAACCAUGCGUAGCCGAACUGACAGGGGGAUAGCCGACACUAGAACGGAGACACGGUCAAGACUACUACGGGAGGCAGCAGAAGGGAAUCGUACGCAGUGGGCGAAAGCAUGACGGAGCAGCGCGGCGUGAGUGAUGAAGGUCUUCGGAUCGUAAAACUCUGUUAUUAGGGAAGAACAAAUGUGUAAGUAAAUAUGGACGUCUUGACGGUACCUGAUCAGAAAGCAACGGCUAACUACGUG
rnacentral:rRNA from 1 species